rnacentral:rRNA from 1 species
ACCUUUAGAAUUCAGAGAUGAUUGUUUUCGGUUCGGCCGGGAGGAGCACAGGUGCUGCAUGGCUGUCGUCAGCUCGUGUCGUGAGAUGUUGGGUUAAGUCCCGCAACGAGCGCAACCCUUAUCGUAUGUUACCAGCAUUUAGUUGGGAACUCAUGCGAGACUGCCGGUGAUAAGCCGGAGGAAGGCGGGGACGACGUCAAGUCAUCAUGGCCCUUACGUGUGGGGCUACAAACGUGCUACAAUGGCGGUGACAGUGGGCUGCGAGGCAGUGAUGCCAAGCAAAUCCCUAAAAGCCGUCUCAGUUCAGAUUGUAGUCUGCAACUCGACUACAUGAAGUUGGAAUCGCUAGUAAUCGUGAAUCAGCAUGUCACGGUGAAUACGUUCCCGGGUCUUGUACACACCGCCCGUCACACCAUGGGAGUUGGUUUUACCCGAAGGCAGUGCGCUAACUACGGAGGCAGCGGACCACGGUAGGAUUAAUGACUGGGGUGAAGUCGUCGUAACAAGGUAACCGUA